rnacentral:rRNA from 1 species
CUUUCAGUUAUAAUUAAACUUACACAUGCAAGUCUCCCACUCCGGUGAAAAUGCCCUUUAUCUUCCAACUAUUAGAAGAAAAGGAGUUGGUAUCAGGCUCAAAUAGCCCAAGACACCUAGCUUUGCCACACCUCCAAAGGAAUUCAGCAGUGAUUAACAUUAAAUAUUAGCGCAAGCUAAAUUUAGUUAUAAUUAAUAAGGUCGGUUAAUUUCGUGCCAGCCACCGCGGUUAUACGAAAGACUUAAACUGAAAGCCACCGGCGUAAAGCGUGAUUAAGGGUAAAAUUUUCUAAAGCUAAACUCUGAUUUAAUUGUUAUAAGUUCUUAUCAGUUGGAAACUCAUUCACGAAAGUAGCUUUAUUAUUCCUGACUUCACAGUAGCCAAGACCCAAACUGGGAUUAGAUACCCCACUAUGCUUGGCCCUAAACUUUGAUAAUUACAUUUCUC